AAUGGAAAGAACAAGAGAGACAAUGAAAAAAAUCUAAAGUCUAUAGAUCACUUGAAAAGACAUUACGAAAGAGACAAGGAAAAGCGAAAUGGAAGCUCCUGGAGAUCAAUGGAUGCUUGGAAGGAGAAGAGGAACUGGGAAGAUGUACUCUCCACACCACAACGAAUUUCAUCUCGCUUCUCAUAUUCACCUGGCUUGAGUAGAAGAAGUGCAG
rnacentral:misc_RNA from 1 species